CUCCUUUGACGUUAGCGGCGGACGGGUGAGUAACACGUGGGUAACCUACCUAUAAGACUGGGAUAACUUCGGGAAACCGGAGCUAAUACCGGAUAAUAUUUCGAACCGCAUGGUUCGAUAGUGAAAGGUGGUUUUGCUAUCACUUAUAGAUGGACCCGCGCCGUAUUAGCUAGUUGGUAAGGUAACGGCUUACCAAGGCGACGAUACGUAGCCGACCUGAGAGGGUGAUCGGCCACACUGGAACCGAGACACGGUCCAGACUCCUACGGGAGGCAGCAGCU
rnacentral:rRNA from 1 species